AUGCCAGACUCCUACGGGAGGCAGCAGUGGGGCCUCUUGGACAAUGGGGGGAACCCUGCUCCCGCGACGCCGCGUGCGUGAAGAAGUAUUUCGGUAUGUACCGCUCUAUCAGCAGGGCAGCAAGAAAUGCCGGUACCUGACUAAGAAGCCCCGGCUAACUACGUGCCAGCAGCCGCGGUAAUACGUAGGUGGCAAGGGUUGUCCGGAUUUACUGGGUGUAAAGGGCGUGGAGCCGGGCUUACAAGUCAGAUGUGAAAUCCGGGGGCUCAACCCCCGAACUGCAUUUGAAACUGUAGGUCUUGAGUAUCGGAGAGGCAGGCGGAAUUCCUAGUGUAGCGGUGAAAUGCGGAGAGAUUAGGAGGAACACCAGUGGCGAAGGCGGCCUGCUGGACGACAACUGACGGUGAGGCGCGAAAGCGGGGGGAGCAAACAGGAUUAGAUACCCGGGUAUC
rnacentral:rRNA from 1 species